AGUUAGUCACCAGUUAGCCUCUUUGGAUGGCCUGAGGGUUGUCUGGCUCCAUUUCCUCCCUUACCCCAACUGCCCAGCCCUGGUCCUACUCCAUAAUCCUUCUGCCAGACAGCUUCCAUGGUAAGCCAUUCCGUCUAUACUGCUGACCCCACCCCUUCUUCCUUGCUUUGUUUCUUACUGUAGGCCCCAGGUAUCUCUGCAAGGAAUGCCUUUUCCCCCUUCCUUUGGUUGCCGACUAGCUCAGAUGUCACACCCUCCAUUCUUCAAGUUGCCUAAGCCACUCCAUCUGUCACCUAUGAAACGUCGAUACCUCUGUGAGGACCCUACUCUAUGAGCUGUAUCCUGCUCGUGAGAGCUCCCAGGACCUGAAAGAGGAGGGUAGGAUCUGAGUGGCCUCUGUAGGUGAAGCCCCUGCCUGGCUCUUCAGUGAAGGACAGAGCAGCUCAUUCAGGAACUCCAUUUUGUGAGCAUAUGUGUUCGUCCCUGCGUGGGAGUGUCCUAGUUAACGACUGUCGACUUGACACAGCCUAGAAUCACGUGAGGAAAACAAGUCUCAACUGAGUAAUAAUUGUCUUUAUCAGGUUGGUUCGAGAACAUGUCUGUGAGAUAUCGUCUUUAUUGACGGAGGACGGCCCAGCCCACUGUGGGUGGUGCUGUUUCUUGGGCAGGUGGUCCUGAGCAACUGUAGAAGAAAAUGAGCUAAGGCAGAGCCUGUGGGGCAGCCAGAGAGCUGCCAGCCAGCAGCAUUCCUUCGUGAUUUCUACCUAAGUUCCUGCCCCGACUUCCCGUCUGACAGACGUGCACGGGAUACAGAAACGAAGGGACAAGGUCGCCAACUCCAAGGCGCUCGCUAUGAGGAGGAAAGGCCCCUGUCUCAGCCUGGUGCUGGUCUCCCAAGGACCGGAGGAGCUCCACUGUGCUACCUGGCGGCCAUCAGACAGAGGCAGCUUUUGGACUAAUCCACGCUGAGCCGGGCUUUGGGGUAAAGCGUAAUUCAGAUGUUAAUAGCUUAGCAUGAAAGAUGUAAGAUCCAUUAUUCAUAAUUGAAAACGUAUCUAUAUGUUGUGUGAGGUGGAGCGGGGCUUUGUGCCACCGUAUGCGUGUGGAGGUCAGAAGACAGCUUGUGGGUCAGUUCUCUCCUUCCACCACAGGAGUUCUGAAGAUCAACCUCGGGUCACAGGGCUGGGCAGCAGGGCCCUUUUCCCUCUGCUGAGCCAUCUCCCUGGUCCUCUUACUCAUAAUGCUUUAUCUCAGUGUUGUGUCGAAAUGAUGAUGCUCUGCGGCUCUGGGGUUAAAUAAAAUAGAUGGUUAAAAUUAA